rnacentral:rRNA from 1 species
GGUGAUUUUAGCGAAUCUGAAACACACGAUCCCAUUCCGAACUCGGCUGUGAAACGAUUCAGCGCCUAUGGUACUUUGUCUUAAGGCACGGGAGAGUCGGUCGUUGCCA